rnacentral:rRNA from 1 species
CCUACGGGCGGCAGCAGUGAGGAAUAUUGGUCAAUGGGCGUGAGCCUGAACCAGCCAAGUCGCGUGAGGGAUGACGGCUCUAUGGAUCGUAAACCUCUUUUAUACGGGAAUAAAGUGCGGGACGUGUCCCGUUUUGUAUGUACCUUAUGAAUAAGGAUCGGCUAACUCCGUGCCAGCAGCCGCGGUAAUACGGAGGAUCCGAGCGUUAUCCGGAUUUAUUGGGUUUAAAGGGUGCGUAGGCGGCCUUUUAAGUCAGCGGUGAAAGUCUGUGGCUCAACCAUAGAAUUGCCGUUGAAACUGGGAGGCUAGAGAAUGUAUGAGGCAGGCGGAAUGCGUGGUGUAGCGGUGAAAUGCUUAGAUAUCACGCAGAACCCCGAUUGCGAAGGCAGCCUGCUAAGCCAUGACUGACGCUGAUGCACGAAAGCGUGGGGAUCAAACAGGAUUAGAUACCCCUGUAGUC